CAGAGAGCUCUGAGCCCUCAGGCACUACGGAGCAAGCUCGUGGUCGCCGGGAGGGGGUACUCCUGCCGGUGUUUACUGCCCCAGCCGGGGACACGCGGCGGCGCGAGCCCGCAUGACUGGUCCGCUCGUCCCAAGAGGAGGCAGAGCGAAGACUCGAGGCGGUGCCCGUUAGGGACGCGCUGCCCGGGGCUUAUGGGCUUUUUCUUGGGGACUGUACCCGCCGGGCUGGGGAGCGGAAAGGCUCGGGGAUUUUGCACACUGCAAGGAACUGUUGGGUUUAAACUAAAAAUACCCGCCCGCCCGCAGCUGUCACUCCAGGGCCCCCGCCCCCGGCGCGCCUCCCCAGGUCCCCUUGACUUUCGGCGACUCCGAUCCCCAGGGGACGUGCCAGGGCUGGGCGGGGGACUGAGGACCCGACCCUCCCAGCCCCCGGCCCGGCCACCCAGCCCCGGCACCCAGCCCCGAGCCACUUACCCGGCCGGGAGCGUGCGGGAGCGCGGCGCCGCGGGCAGUGCUGGCCGAGCCGCCCUCCUCCUCCCUGCGUCCCGGGCGGCUCCGGAGCGGGGCGGGGCCGGGGCGGGGCCCGGACACUCGCCCCCGCCCCGCCCAGUCCCCUCCGGACCCGCCGCGGGAGCCGCCCCGGGCCCCGCCACCUCGGCGGGUGGGAGAAGGACGAUCCUGGCUCUGCCCUCUUGGCAAAGGGCCGAGGAGCCCGGCCUCAGCCCGGUGGGCACCCCAUCGCGGACCCCCUCCCCCGGGGCAGGGGGGGAGCGCUGUCGUGGGGGCUCCGCACCCUCACCCCUGUCACCCCUGGCCCCGGGCCCACAACUGCCCUCUCCGCUCAGUAGCUUCCCCGAGCCUCGGCACCCCCCCCGCGCCUGCCUCGGCCCGGGUCUCAUCCUCGGGGAUGGCACGGAGCUGCCUCUCCUCAGGGGGAAGUUGGAUCUGGGGAGUUCCUCUGUGUGUCCCGCCUUGGGGAGGGGGCUAGGGGCCUGGAGGGUCUUGCCCUCUCAGAGCCCAAGUGGGGACAAAAGAAGGGGCACCCUUCCCGGAGGCGCGAAAUCCAAGGAGGAAGUGACACCUAUCAGCCAGCCUGAGAGUGGAGGCGCCCCAUCCGGCCCCUCCCACCCCACAGUCCCCGGAGCCACCACGCAAGGCAUCUUCAGGCCCCAGGCUCGGAUGGGAGAUCCCCAGGAUGCCAAGCGGAGGACAUGGGGGCGGAGGGUUAUAUUUUUACGCGGAGGCUCCCUGAACCCCACAUGUUACCAGCUCUGGCUUCAUGAAUGCGAUGAAUUCCUUAUGGGUCAAGGUUUUUGUUGAGAAAUUAAAGUACUCUGCAGAGAACAGCACCAGCCUUAGUAACAGGUGAGAUGUCUGUGUGUAACGUGGGUACUGAAAGAGGAAAAGGACUGGCCUGGAAGUCUGUCGUGUGUGUGUGUGUACCAGUGUGUGUGUGUAAACAGCAGGGCUCAGCCCCUUGCGUAUGCUGAUUGCCUGUGCAUGCAGUCAGGAAAACAUCAGAGGUGCAGCUUUAUAGGUACUGCGAAACACGCAGGGCUGGCUGAGCCCGAUUCGGAUCAUAACUGUGGUUUUGUCUUCUCCGAACCGCUCUGUACCGGGAAAGUCACAGCUUCGCUCCGCGGUUUCCUUGGUUGCUGAACACGUGUGAUGUGCGAUUACUCUUCUGUCAGGACGUGAUGGCUACUCAGCCUUCCAGCUUCAUUGCUUUGGCUUAAACUACAGCAGACUAGGAACUUGGCUUGUUUGUUUGAUUUUGUUUUGAAACCUAAAUGCAGCCUUGAUAACGUCAGUGUUGCCAGACUUGGUGGAGGAGGCGGGGCAGAGUGAAAAACUCCUGGGACGGAAAUCUGACCUCUGACGUGGUACCUCCCAGGAUCUGCAUUCGCCCCCCCUCCCCCGGCCGGGGGGGGGGGGGGGGGGGGGGGGGGGGGGGGGGGGGGGGGGGGGGGGGGGGGCGGCAUCUCCCCACCUGUGUCCCCACAUCUGGAAAAAAGGGGCCAGGUCAUGCCCUGACCUCCUGUAGGAGCUGUUGUGAGGAUCACAGAGAAUAAGGACCGACCACGAGAAUGUUCGGUGCACACGUGCGCUGUUAUGGGAAAUGCGAUCCUCCAGGGACCGUGCUUGCCAACGAAAGUGCAUGACGGAGACCCACUCAGGAAAAGGCUGUGGGUAAGGCAGAGGUCUCUGCUCAGGAGGAAGAGCAAUCUUUUCUUGUUUCUGCUCCCUGGAGGCAUGUUUUCGCAGUGUUCUCUCCUUGCUUUCGGUCGGCUCGGCUGUUCUCAACAUGUGAUAAUCUUAGAAGGGCAGCAUGAUAGGCAGUGCGCCCAGAAAGGCGAGGGGAAUGGGGAAGCCUCUGAUCCUCGCCAGCAGACACUCAGAGGCCAGGCUGAGUGAGGGCAGCGGGACCCAGAAGGGCUUUUCUUGUCCCCACCUCCCAUCACCAUGCACACUGCCCGCUGGACUCUGCUCAGGGGAAGCCCACUCUUGGGGUGCAAUUGGCCCCGCCCACUACUGGAGUGACAGCAGCUUGUGUCAAACAGGUCAGACCUGCUGCAGCGCCAGAUCUUUUAACCCGCUGCACCAGGUGGGGGGUCGAACCUGCACCUCCGCAGUGACCCGAGCUGCUGCAGUCUGAUUCUUAACCCACAGCACCACAGCAGGAACCCCUGAAACCUGUUGCUCGACAGUUCUUGAUGGCCCUGAGAUGUUUCCCCAGCAGAAAAGGCCAUGCGACUGCAGGAGCCUCUUUCCAUCAAACCUUAGAAUCUUGUUGCAAACAACUGGCACCAGACACAUGCUUUCCAAACAGACUGCCGCAAGCCUUGCACUGCAAGAGCCCUGGCACCUGGCCUGGAAUCAUAAAGAACUUUAAUCUUCAGUUUUUUCUUUGAUGCUGUUGAGUUAGAGUGCAGAGAAAAACCUCAAGUGCCACCAGAUGUGCCUCCUGGCUUUUCAAAAGCCAUACUCAACAGAUAUUAGCAGCCCCCAUAAAGAGGCAGCACGUACUUCCUGUGUCCUUGGGUAUUUAAAAGGUCCUUGCUGGCACUACGCCAGCGGGAUUAGGCUUCUGCAAUCAAGGCUGUUUCACCAUCCAGGCUGAAAUGUUUGAUUUUGUCACUGAUGAAUCUGGGCAAAGGACUGGACCCUGUGUACUCAGUUCACAGACUCUCAGGUGGCCUAAAACACAGGUGCACACACACACAUAGAGCAGCCAAAAGGAGUUCCCUUGUGGUGUAUCAGAUUAAGGAUCUGGUGGGAGUUUCUGUCGUGGUGCAGCAGAAAGAAAUCCGACUGGGAACCAUGAGGUUGCAGGUUCAAUCCCUGGCAUCGCUCAAGGGGUUAAGGAUCUGGUGUUGCCAUGAGCUGUGGUGUAGGUCGCAGAUGUGGCUCACAUCCUGAGUUGCUGUGGCUGUGGUGUAGGCUGGCAGCUAUAGCUCUGAUUAGACCCCUAGCCUGGGAACCUCCACAUGCCAUGGGCACGGCCCUAAAAAAGCAAAAAAAAAAAAACGGGGAUCUGGUAUUGUCACUGCAGCAGUCUGGGUAGCUGCUACAGCACAGGUUUGAUCUCUGGACUGGGCACAUCCACAUGCCACAAGCGUGGCAGAAAAAAAUUUAAAUUAAAUUGAAUUAAUUAACAGCAGAAGGCACUUUAUAAAUGCACUGGCCUGGCUCCUUCAUGUUCCAGAGAUGAUGAGAGGGUCAGAGAGCUGCCAAAGGUCAGGAAAUGCCCGGAUGGCUUCAGCCCACAGCCAGUUACCUCCACUGCCAAACCCAGGGGACACUUGGGCUCCUAACAGCCCCGCCGGGGCCCCUCUCCUGGAGGCGCUUGCUGGUCCCCCUGCCUCCUUUCCAGUCUUCAUGCCUGUCCUUCCUGAGCUGCAUUCGGGCCCCAGCUUCCUUGCUCCACCUGCCCAAGUCUCCUUGCUCAUCAGGCCCAGAUGUGCAGGAGCAAAGUCAUCUGGAGUCCUCCCCCGCAUGUUUCAGAUAUAACCUACGGAUUUAGACAGAUGCCCUUCAGACUCCUCAGACUCAGAAUGACUGCAAGGAAUAGGUGACUGGCCCCUUCAAUCCUCCUGCCUCGCCUGUGGUCUCGGGCUCAGCAAGCAUGUGCCCCAGCCGCUAAGCCAGAAACGGAGGGGGAGCCUGAGUCCCGCCCUCUUCUCCCAGGUCCCCUCCCCACAUGGGCCGGUCACCUGAUGCUGUCCGUCCUACCCUCAAAGUAUCAAAUGUGCAUGCCCUUUGCAUUGGUGCCCUUCACUCACGGGACACAGGCCAGAGCCCUGGUGUGGCAUUUGACACGGUCUCCUGGCUGGCCUCCCCCUCCCCCGCCCCCAUCAGUGCCACCUCCAAUUCAUCAACGUGCCUACCAGGCCCAACGCUCAGGAACUCUGCAGCUUCUGGGGACCUUCUCUCAUGCUGAGGAUGAAAUCCUACGGCCCUCGGCUGCAUUCACUUGUCCGUGUUUCUAUUAGACAAACACCCUGGGAGUUCCUGACAUGGCUCAGCAGAAACAAAUCCAACUAGCAUCCAUGAGGACACAAGUUCGAUCCCUGGCCUCGCUCAGUGGGCUAAAGAUCCGGCCAUGCCAUGAGCUGUGGUGUAGGUCCCAGACACAGCUCUGAUCCUAUGUUGCUGUGGCUGUGGUAAAGGCCAGCAGCUACAGCUCCGAUUUCACCCCUAGCCCGGGAACCUCCAUAUGCCAUGGGUGUGGCCAUUUAAAGAAAAAAAAGGAAAGAAAAAGAAAAACACUCCGUCUCACCCCCUCCCCCCGCCCCAGGAUGCCUGGGCCUUUGUGCCUCUGCAGUGUUGUUUCCUCUCCCUGGAAUGUCCUUCCCUUUUAUUUAUUUAUUUAUUUUUCUUUUUAAAAAUUAAAAAAAAUUUUUUGGUUUUUAGGGCUGCACCCACGGCAUAUGGAGAUUCCCAGGCUAGGGGUGAAAUUGGAGCUGUAGCCACCAGCCUUCGCCACAACCACAG
rnacentral:lncRNA from 1 species